UACGUAGGGCGCAAGCGUUGUCCGGAAUUAUUGGGCGUAAAGAGCUCGUAGGCGGCUUGUCACGUCGGAUGUGAAAGCCCGGGGCUUAACUCCGGGUCUGCAUUCGAUACGGGCUGGCUAGAGUGUUGUAGGGGAGAUCGGAAUUCCUGGUGUAGCGGUGAAAUGCGCAGAUAUCAGGAGGAACACCGGUGGCGAAGGCGGAUCUCUGGGCCAUUACUGACGCUGAGGAGCGAAAGCGUGGGGAGCGAACAGG
rnacentral:rRNA from 1 species